AUGGAGAUGAUAAGCCGCAGCCUGCAGAGCGUGAGCCCGGACGUGAGCGUCUACUUCUCCGGCGGGUCCUCCCGGCGGCGGAGCGGGGCAGGGGAGAGCGACGAUGAGGAGGCGCUGCGGUGGGCGGCGCUGGAGCGGCUGCCGUCGUUCGAGCGGCUGCGCACGGGCAUCCUGCGGUCCGAGGCCCAGGCCGGGCGCCGGCGGUUCGCGCACGAGGAGGUGGACGUGCGCAUGCUGGAGGGCCCCCAGCGGCAGGCCUUCGUGGAGAGCGUCUUCCGGGUCGCCGACGAGGACAACGAGCGCUUCCUCAAGAAGCUCCGCGCGCGCAUUGAUCGCGCGGGCAUCGUGAUCCCGACGGCGGAGGUGAGGUUCAAGAGCCUGAACGUGGAGGCGGAGUGCCACGUCGGGAGCCGCGCGCUGCCGACGUUGGCGAACGCGACGCUGGACACGGUGGACGCCAUGCUGGGGCUCGCCGGGGUCAGCCUCGCCAAGACCAAGACCCUCCACAUUCUCAAGGACGUCUCAGGCGUCGUAAGGCCGUCCAGGAUGACACUCCUGCUCGGCCCACCGUCUUCAGGCAAGACGACGCUUCUGCUGGCGCUGGCCGGCAAGUUGGACCCCACUCUGAAGGUGCGCGGGGAGGUGACGUACAACGGCUACGCCCUGGACGAGUUCGUGCCGCAGAAGACGGCGGCGUACAUCAGCCAGAACGACGUCCACGCCGGCGAGAUGACCGUCAAGGAGACCCUCCACUUCUCCGCCAGGUGCCAGGGGGUAGGCCACAGAUACGAGUUGCUCCAGGAGCUGACCAAGAAGGAGAGGCAGCUGGGGAUUUAUCCUGACCCAGAGGUUGACCUCUUCAUGAAGGCCACUUCAGUCGAAGGGAGCACACUGCAGACAGACUACAUUCUCAGGAUCCUCGGGCUGGACAUGUGCGCCGACGUCAUGGUCGGCGACGACAUGCGGACCGGCAUCUCCGGCGGGCAGAAGAAGCGCCUCACAACAGGGGAGAUGCUGGUCGGCCCGACCAAGGUGCUGUUCAUGGACGAGAUAUCCACCGGCCUGGACAGCUCCACCACCUACCAGGUCGUCAGGUGCAUCCAGCAGAUUGUCCACCUGGGCGAGGCUACCGUGCUGGUGUCGCUGCUGCAGCCCGCGCCGGAGAUCUUCGACCUCUUCGACGACGUCAUGCUGCUCUCCGAGGGGCAGAUCGUCUACCAGGGUCCCAGGGAGUACGUGCUCGAGUUCUUCGAGAGGUGCGGCUUCCGCUGCCCCGAGAGGAAAGGAGCUGCUGAUUUCUUGCAAGAGGUUACAUCAAAGAAAGAUCAGGCGCAAUACUGGAUACAGAAUGAAAAGCCUUAUCACUAUGUAUCAGUACCUGAAUUUGUUUUAAAGUUCAGGAAAUUUCACAUGGGGAAGAGCCUAAAAAAGCAGCUUUCGGUUCCUUUCAACAAGAGAAAAAUCCACAAAUCUGCUCUGGUUUUCUCCGAUCAGUCUGUUUCAACUUCAGAGCUUCUCAAGACCUCGUUCUCCAAAGAAUGGCUUCUCAUGCAGAGAAACUCAUUUAUCUACGUUUUCAAAAUAGUCCAGGGAAUCAUAGUUGCUCUAGUAGCAUCAACGGUUUUCUUGCGUACAACGCUCCAUGAAGAUAAUGAGGAAGAUGGCCAAGUCUACCUAGGGGCACUUAUAUUUAUCAUGAUAGCUAACAUGUUCAAUGGUUUUGCCGAGGCAACCCUUACUCUCGCAAGGCUACCUGUAUUCUACAAACAUAGAGAUUUUCUAUUCUAUCGGCCAUGGCAUUUUACACUUCCAAAUGUUCUCCUGAAAGUCCCUAUGGCCUUGCUUGAGUCAAUAAUUUGGGUUGUAAUAACCUACUACCUCAUAGGCUUUUCCCCUGAAGCUAGCAGGUUCUUCAAACAUCUGCUUAUAGUAUUCUUGAUCCAGCAGGCGGCUGGAGGAUUGUUCAGGCUUGUUGCUGGCUUAUGUAGGACUGUUGUCGUCACUAAUACCGCUGGAUCUCUUGCCCUUCUGAUCAUAUUUGUAAUGGGAGGAUUCAUCCUACCAAGAGAUGCAAUUCCAAAAUGGCUGGUAUGGGGUUAUUGGUGUUCACCUCUUACGUAUGCAUACAUUGCUCUUGCUGUCAAUGAGAUGGAUUCUCCGAGGUGGCUGGACCAAUCUAUAGCUGAUGGAAGGCCAUUGGGAGUGGCAGUUCUAGAAAAUGCAGGUGUAUUCACUGACAAGGAGUGGUACUGGAUUGGAGCAGGUGCCCUUCUAGGGUUCACCGUUGUGUUCAAUGUGCUAUUCACACUAUCGCUCAUGUACCUGAACGCUAUUGGAAAACCGCAAGCCAUCUUGCCUGAAGAAACUGAUGGAUUUCCAGAGAAUGACUUUGAGCAAAAGAAGGAGCCACAUAUAACACAGAGAACUACGGUUCGAACAACAGAACCUACAUCCCCGAACUCAAUCAUCACAUUGGAUAAGGUGCUUGAACAAUUACGUGGCCGUUCCCCAAAUACUUCUGAUAGGUCUGUUGGAUAUGCUCCAGGAAGAGGGAUGGUUCUUCCGUUUGAACCUCUCUCCAUGUCUUUCAAUGAGAUAAACUACUAUGUUGACAUGCCUGCGGAGAUGAAGACUCAAGGAGUAACCGCUGAUAAGCUUCAGCUGCUGUCAGGGAUAUCUGGCGCUUUUCGCCCUGGGGUUUUGACUGCCCUUAUGGGUGUGAGUGGAGCUGGAAAGACCACCCUCAUGGAUGUCUUGUCUGGGAGGAAGACUGGUGGAUACAUUGAAGGGGAAGUCUACAUAUCUGGUUACCCUAAGAACCAAGCAACAUUUGCAAGAAUGUCGGGUUACUGCGAGCAAAAUGACAUCCACUCUCCACAGAUCACAGUCAGAGAGUCGCUACUCUUCUCUGCUUUCCUGCGCCUGCCUAAGGAGGUCACUGAUCAAGAGAAGAAGGUAUUUGUGGAUGAAGUAAUGGAACUAAUUGAACUGAGCGGUCUCAAGGAUGCUAUUGUGGGUCUCCCUGGUGUGAACGGUCUGUCGACUGAACAAAGAAAGAGGUUGACUAUUGCUGUAGAGCUUGUGGCAAACCCCUCAAUUAUCUUCAUGGACGAACCAACUUCAGGUCUUGAUGCAAGAGCUGCCGCAAUUGUCAUGAGAACUGUUCGGAACACUGUCAAUACUGGAAGAACUGUUGUCUGCACCAUCCAUCAACCAAGUAUAGACAUUUUUGAAGCUUUUGAUGAGCUGCUAUUACUGAAAAGAGGAGGUCAAGUCAUAUAUUCUGGACCGUUGGGUAGGAACUCCCAUAAAGUUGUCGAAUACUUUCAGGAAAUUCCUGGAGUCCCAAAGAUCAAAGAGAAGUGCAACCCAGCUACAUGGAUGUUGGAUGUAAGCUCUGCAGCAGCAGAAGUUCGACUGAAGAUUGAUUUUGCCGAAAGUUACAAAUCUUCGACUAUGCAUCAGCGGAAUAAAGCAUUAGUCAAAGAGCUGAGCAAGCCACCUCCUGGUACCAGCGACCUUUACUUCCCUUCUCAAUACUCACAGAGUUCCUUUGGUCAGUUUAAAUUCUGUCUCUGGAAGCAAUGGUGGACUUACUGGAGAAGUCCUGAUUACAACCUCGUCAGGAUGUUCUUUGCAUUUGUUACGGCCUUAGUGCUGGGGGUUAUAUUCUGGAGGGUUGGUCUAAAGAUGAGGAGCUCGGGUGAUCUUUUAGUCAUUGUGGGAUCAAUGUAUGCCGCUGUCAUGUUCGUUGGCUGCGAGAAUUGUAUCUGUGUUCAACCUGUUGUUGCUGUGGAAAGGACUGUAUUUUACAGAGAGCAAGCAGCUGGAAUGUACUCAGCUAUACCCUAUGCCCUCGCUCAGGUAGUUGUGGAGAUACCAUAUGUGUUCGUUGAGACUCUGGUUUAUACUCUUAUCGUCUACCCGAUGAUGUCUUUCGAGUGGACACUAGUAAAGUUCUUCUGGUUCUUCUAUGUUUCAUUCUUCACCUUCCUGUAUUUCACUUACUAUGGCAUGAUGACUGUCUCCAUAUCGCCAAAUGGUCAAGUUGCUUCUAUAUUUGCCGCUGCAUUCUACUCCUUUUUCAAUCUCUUCUCAGGGUUCUUCGUUGCAAGAUCGAAAAUCCCAAAAUGGUGGAUUUGGUACUAUUGGCUUUGCCCGGUGGCAUGGACAGUUUACGGGCUUGUUGUGUCACAGUACGGGGAUGUGGAAGAUCUUAUCAAGGUGCCUGGUCAACCCGAUCAGCAAGUCUCAGCUUUCAUCAAGAGCUACUUCGGUUAUGAUAACGACUUCAUGGGCGUCGUGGCGGUUGUGCUGGCUGGCUUCACUGUCUUCUUCGCUAUGAUAUAUGCUUACUGCAUAAAGACGUUCAAUUUCCAACAGAGAUAG
rnacentral:rRNA from 1 species